ACACGUGCUCAUGGCCGGACAAGGAAGCUAGACUAGAGAGAUGUUAGGCGAUCCCUUAAAACCCGUCCCCAUUUCGAAUUGAAUUCUGCACUCCGAUUACAUGAAUCCGGAAUCGCUAGUAAUCGCAGAUCCGCCAAGCUGCGGUGAAUACUUUCCCGGGCCUUGUACACACCGCCCGUCACACCACCCGAGUUGGGGGCACCCGAAGCCUGAGCUUAACCCGUAGGGACAGAAGCGUCUAAGGUGCGCCGAGUAUUGGGGUUGAACCUAACCAGG
rnacentral:rRNA from 1 species